rnacentral:lncRNA from 1 species
UCUGGAUGGAGUCAGCUGCCUAGCGCCAGGGGCCAGCACGGCCCAGCCAGCGGAGCGCGGCGGUUUGUCUUCUCCUGAGGAAGUGGAUGCCAUGUGUCACUUUGCAGAUGGAUCAAGUGCAGGAGGUGCCUGUUGGAGACGCAGAGCUCUGCAGCAGCAGGUGAGCUGAUGCUGCAACCUGCUAAACGCCGCUCCUGCGGAGCGCCAGGGCCCAGAGUGCACAUGGCUCUCAGGCUCCGUGAAAAGCUUGCAGUGAGCUCAGCCACUGAAAAGUCACUACGAAGAUGGAAAGCAAAAUGAAAACCGAGUCCUCGACACCGCUUCCUGGAGCUGUUCUGUGCAGAAGUUGAGUGAAGAUACUGCAGCGAGCCCUGGGUCUGAACGCCUGUGUGCUGACUCUAGACCUGCUCCUCAGCCCCAGUUUUCUCUGAAAAACCAGGAUUCUAGCACAACUCGUACCCCCAUUCUUUUCAGUCCUGCACCCACCAGCGAGCCGCAAGGCCCAGGAGCUACUGGCCCUGUUUUCCUGUCUCCAGUACUGGCCUUUGAUUUAUGAGAUGUCCCCUGUCUCCCCUGCUUCUGACCUCCCAGGAUGGCAUUUGGUGAUUUCUUGAUGUUCUCUUGCUUUGGCAUUAAAAUAUGGAUGGGAGUGUCAUUUCCAGAUCUUUUCCAGACCUGUGCAAUUCUUUCCAUUCUUCAUAACAGCCCAUGACCCACCUUCCUCUGUUUCAGCCACAAAGCUAGCCAUGCCUGUGUGCGCACUGCUGUUUCUCAUUGUUAAUAUUUUAACUGUUAUUAAAAAAAAAACUUUCUUUUAAACUGUGUGUGUAUGGUUUUAAAAAUUGACGCACUUCCAGAGCUCUCAACUUCUGCAGUCUUUCUGAGGUCCGUGUUCCUCUUCUUCAGCUGGGAAGCAAAUGCUUGACUU